UACAGAGGGUGCGAGCGUUAAUCGGAAUUACUGGGCGUAAAGCGUGCGUAGACGGUAGCGUAAGUCAGAUGUGAAAGCCCCGGGCUCAACCUGGGAAUUGCAUUUGAGACUGCUCUGCUCGGGUGCGGAAGAGGGAAGCGGAAUUUCCGGUGGAGCGGUGAAAUGCGUAGAGAUCGGAAAGAACACCAACGGCGAAAGCACUCUGCUGGGCCGACACUGACACUGAGAGACGAAAGCUAGGGGAGCGAAUGGG
rnacentral:rRNA from 1 species